AUACGGAGGGUGCAAGCGUUGUUCGGAAUUACUGGGCGUAAAGCGCGCGUAGGCGGUCUGUUAUGUCAGAUGUGAAAGUCCUCGGCUCAACCGGGGAAGUGCAUUUGAAACUGGCAGACUUGAGUACUGGAGGGGGUGGUGGAAUUCCCGGUGUAGAGGUGAAAUUCGUAGAUAUCGGGAGAAAUACCGGUGGCGAAGGCGACCACCUGGCCAGAUACUGACGCUGAGGUGCGAAAGCGUGGGGAGCAAACAGGAUUAGAAACCCCGGUAGUCC
rnacentral:rRNA from 1 species